GCCCGCGUGGCAUAGGGGUUCGAGCAUUGGACUAGAACUCUGGAAACCAGGAUUCGAAUCCCAGCUCAGCCA